UGACCUCGAAUCAGGUAGGGGUACCCGCUGAACUU
rnacentral:rRNA from 1 species